CAACCCAGGAACUGCAUUUAAAACUAGUGAUCUAGAAAUUGGUAAGGGUUAGUAGAAUUUCCAGUGUAGAGGUGAAAUUCGUAGAUAUUGGAAAGAAUACCAGAAGCGAAGGCGACUAACUAGGCCAUUUUUGACGCUGAGAUACGAAAGCGUGGGUAGCAAACAGGAUUAGAUACCCUGGUAGUCCACGCAGUAAACGAUGAGUGCUAGUCGCUGGGACAAUAGUUUCAGUGUCGAAGCUAACGCAUUAAGCACUCCGCCUGGGAAGUACGGUCGCAAGAUUAAAACUCAAAUAAAUUGACGGGGGCCCGCACAAGCGGUGGAGCAUGUGGUUUAAUUCGAAGCAACGCGAAGAACCUUACCAGACCUUGACAUGGUGUGUCUGAAUAACAGAAUCGUUAUUCUUCAGUUCGGCUGGCACACACACAGGUGCUGCAUGGCUGUCGUCAGCUCGUGUCGUGAGAUGUUGGGUUAAGUCCCGCAACGAGCGCAACCCUCAUUUUUAGUUGCCAUCAGGUAGUGCUGGGCACUCUAGAAAAACUGCCGGUGAUAAGCUGGAGGAAGGCGGGGAUGACGUCAAGUCCUCAUGGCCCUUACGGUCUGGGCUACACACGUGCUACAAUGGUGGUGACAGAGGGCAGCAAUAUUGCAAAAUAAAGCUAAUCCCUAAAAACCAUCUCAGUUCGGAUUGGACUCUGCAACUCGAGUCCAUGAAGUUGGAAUCGCUAGUAAUCGUAGAUCAGCGUGCUACGGUGAAUACGUUCUCGGGCCUUGUACACACCGCCCGUCACGCCAUGGGAGUUGGUUUUACCUUAAGCCGGUGCGCUAACCGCAAGGAAGCAGCCGUCCACGGUAGGGUCAGCGACUGGGGCGAAGUCGUAACAAGGUAACCGUAGGGGAACCUGCGGUUG
rnacentral:rRNA from 1 species